UCCGUAGGUGAACCUGCGGAGGGAUCAUUACCGAGUUUACAACUCCCAAACCCCUGUGAACAUACCAAUUGUUGCCUCGGCGGAUCAGCCCGCUCCCGGUAAAACGGGACGGCCCGCCAGAGGACCCCUAAACUCUGUUUCUAUAUGUAACUUCUGAGUAAAACCAUAAAUAAAUCAAAACUUUCAACAACGGAUCUCUUGGUUCUGGCAUCGAUGAAGAACGCAGCAAAAUGCGAUAAGUAAUGUGAAUUGCAGAAUUCAGUGAAUCAUCGAAUCUUUGAACGCACAUUGCGCCCGCCAGUAUUCUGGCGGGCAUGCCUGUUCGAGCGUCAUUUCAACCCUCAAGCCCAGCUUGGUGUUGGGACUCGCGAGUUAAACCGCGUUCCCCAAAUUGAUUGGCGGUCACGUCGAGCUUCCAUAGCGUAGUAGUAAAACCCUCGUUACUGGUAAUCGUCGCGGCCACGCCGUUAAACCCCAACUUCUGAAUGUUGACCUCGGAUCAUGUAGGAAUACCCGCUGAAUCCCCCGCAUAUCAAUAAGCGGAGGA
rnacentral:rRNA from 1 species